UACGGAGGGUGCGAGCGUUGUCCGGAAUCACUGGGCGUAAAGGGCGCGUAGGCGGCCUGAUAAGUAGGGGGGUGAAAUCCUGCGGCUUAACCGCAGGGCUGCCUUCUAAACUGUCAGGCUGGAGCACAGUAGAGGCAGGUGGAAUUCCCGGUGUAGCGGUGGAAUGCGUAGAGAUCGGGGAAGAACAUCAGUGGCGAAGGCGGCCUGCUGGGGCUGUUGCU
rnacentral:rRNA from 1 species